UUGAACGCUGGCGGCAGGCUUAACACAUGCAAGUCGAGCGGUAGCACARGGGAGCUUGCUCCCUGGGUGACGAGCGGCGGACGGGUGAGUAAUGUCUGGGAAACUGCCUGAUGGAGGGGGAUAACUACUGGAAACGGUAGCUAAUACCGCAUAACGUCGCAAGACCAAAGAGGGGGACCUUCGGGCCUCUUGCCAUCAGAUGUGCCCAGAUGGGAUUAGCUAGUAGGUGGGGUAAUGGCUCACCUAGGCGACGAUCCCUAGCUGGUCUGAGAGGAUGACCAGCCACACUGGAACUGAGACACGGUCCAGACUCCUACGGGAGGCAGCAGUGGGGAAUAUUGCACAAUGGGCGCAAGCCUGAUGCAGCCAUGCCGCGUGUGUGAAGAAGGCCUUCGGGUUGUAAAGCACUUUCAGCGAGGAGGAAGGUGGUGAGCUUAAUACGYUCAUCAAUUGACGUUACUCGCARAARAAGCACCGGCUAACUCC
rnacentral:rRNA from 1 species